UCUUUCAAAUCUCCCUCUCCAUUAAACAUAGUAUUGAACGAAUAAGGAAAAGAGAGGAUGCUUCAACUACGUGUGUAUCCGCACCCUUGCUUCGUCACGAUAUGCGUUUGCGAAUCUUUGGUGUUCCGGCUCCAAUGGCUACAUGACGUCGUGAUCCCCGCGUCUUCUUCUCCCUCAGAAUCGCGAUCGAAAAUACGGAAAAAGCGCUUAUAUGUGAAGAUGAAAAUAGCUUAAUCGGGACAAAUACACCUACUGAGUCACGUCUUCAAUAUCAAGAAGAAGUCGUGCCGGUUUGAUUGCUCCAUCGCGUUUCACUUUGUGUCGUAGAUUUAAGGUCAGAGUAAGGACCAUAAACUCGGAGUUCAAUCCUCCUUCAGAACGGUACAAAUAAAAAGGAAACAAGGAGGUGACCGACACCGCGAUCCGUAAAUUGCGAUCAGAUCGGCUUGAAGAAUGAAACGGACUCGCGGCGCAAUGGAGCUUUGAAGAGGAAAAACGGAAUCGAGGCUAUGAACUCACUGACUCAGGUACUUGACGUUGCCGAAUGAAAGAUUUGCUGCAGACUGUGAGUGCGGGACCUGCUGCAGGAUGGUGAAUGGAACAUGAAGAUGGUGAAUGGAACAGGAAGAUGGUGAAUGGAAUGGAGAUGCAAGUGGAAUAUAAGAUGAAGGAUGAAGUGGAAUAGAAGAUGAAGUAGCAGAUUGGAGAAGAUUGAAGAUUGAUUUAUAGUAUUCCAAAAUCCGUUAGAAAUUCAUCUCAAACUCAUCUAAAAUACAUCUUAAAUUUAGAGUUAGUUAGCAAAUUCGUUUGAGUUAGUUCAUACUGUUAAAAAUAAUCUAUUAGUUAGUUAUGCUGUGAGUUACUGUUAGUUGUUAUCAAAUGAAACCGAACUGUCAUGUUAUUAGUUGGCUUAAAAAUCCCCUUUCCGAACAACUGUUGGUUCCGUUAAAAAUGUUUGAUGCCUAAGCUUUAAUUGAUGAAUUAAAUUUGUUAACAAGUCA